CCAUCCCCUCUAAUUUCAAUGGUGGAAAAGCUGGAAACCUUCUUCAUGGUCCAGAGGUUAGAAAACCAGAAAGAGUAUCCAGGAAUGACUCUUUCUGGGCCAGGCUGCUGAGGAUUCAUCAGGUGAUCCAUUGGGAUAAGCCACACCACAGGUGUGAUGUGUUCAGUAUCUGAUCUAAGAGAUGGCGGUAGUUAAGCUUGGAGAGAAGAAUGAGAAAUUUGAAGUAUCUAGAAGACUUGGUGAUUUCCCAGGUUUCAAAUGCCCUGCAAAGUGUUAAGAAAAAUAUGGCUCAUGUCUAAGGAGGAUAAGACACAGAUGGAAAAACCCCAUACAGAAUCCAUCUCUUGGAAUGGACCCCAAGAUCAAGGUACAAAGAUCCGGCAUUAGAGAACUCAUGGAUGCUGGUUGACUUUGAAAAAAACUCACAGGGUAAGAUUCUGAAGACGAAAAGAAGGAAUGGAUGAUUAAAGAAGGGUUUCAAAGGGAAUGAUGUGUUCCCACACUGCUGGAUGUGAUGCCAGCACCUUGCAGAUUGACUUGAUAGAUUAAAGAAAAACAAUUAUAACACUCCAUGGGGAUGAUAAUGAAGGCAAGAACACGGUUACUAAUGUUCUCAUGAAGGUGGGCUCACCUGAGAGCUGAUGUCUACAAAGGGGGAUUAUAAACAACAAAUGCUAAAUUUAAGAAAGUUAUGCUGGUAACACUCAGGGUAAAUAACUCAGUCAUACAGAGUAAAGAAUGUUUCUUCGGCUUUAAAACAAAGAUCAUAUAUUUAAAGUGGAGGAAAAAUUUCUGCAAAAAUAUCCUGAAUGUAAUACAACCCAAACAAAAAUUCAUUAUAGUACAAAUUUAGUCCCCCAGUCUUUUAAUUAAUUAUUUAUUUUUUUUACAUUUCUCCUGGAGAUAAAAUUAAAGAGGAACUACCUUGGCACAGCAGUGUACGCGUGUAAUCGAAGGGACACGGGAGGCUUAGGCAGGAGGAUCACAAGUUUAAAGACAACCUCAG